UACGUAGGGGGGCAAGCGUUGUCCGGAUUUAUUGGGCGUAAAGAGCGUGUAGGCGGCUUUACAGGUCCGUUGUGAAAACUCGAGGCUCAACCUCGAGACGCCGGUGGAAACCGUAAGGCUAGAGUCCGGAAGAGGAGAGUGGAAUUCCUGGUGUAGCGGUGAAAUGCGCAGAUAUCAGGAGGAACACCCGUGGCGAAGGCGGCAUCCUGGACCAUUACUGACGCUGAGGCGCGAAAGCUAGGGGAGCAAACGGG
rnacentral:rRNA from 1 species